GAAUUGGGCGGCAGUCUUACCAUGCAAGUCGAACGGCAGCACGGAGCUUGCUCUGGUGGCGAGUGGCGAACGGGUGAGUAAUAUAUCGGAACGUACCCUAGAGUGGGGGAUAACGUAGCGAAAGUUACGCUAAUACCGCAUACGAUCUAAGGAUGAAAGUGGGGGAUCGCAAGACCUCAUGCUCGUGGAGCGGCCGAUAUCUGAUUAGCUAGUUGGUAGGGUAAAAGCCUACCAAGGCAUCGAUCAGUAGCUGGUCUGAGAGGACGACCAGCCACACUGGAACUGAGACACGGUCCAGACUCCUACGGGAGGCAGCAGUGGGGAAUUUUGGACAAUGGGCGAAAGCCUGAUCCAGCAAUGCCGCGUGAGUGAAGAAGGCCUUCGGGUUGUAAAGCUCUUUUGUCAGGGAAGAAACGGUGAGAGCUAAUAUCUUUUGCUAAUGACGGUACCUGAAGAAUAAGCACCGGCUAACUACGUGCCAGCAGCCGCGGUAAUACGUAGGGUGCAAGCGUUAAUCGGAAUUACUGGGCGUAAAGCGUGCGCAGGCGGUUUUGUAAGUCUGAUGUGAAAUCCCCGGGCUCAACCUGGGAAUUGCAUUGGAGACUGCAAGGCUAGAAUCUGGCAGAGGGGGGUAGAAUUCCACGUGUAGCAGUGAAAUGCGUAGAUAUGUGGAGGAACACCGAUGGCGAAGGCAGCCCCCUGGGUCAAGAUUGACGCUCAUGCACGAAAGCGUGGGGAGCAAACAGGAUUAGAUACCCUGGUAGUCCACGCCCUAACGAUGUCUACUAGUUGUCGGGUCUUAAUUGACUUGGUAACGCAGCUAACGCGUGAAGUAGACCGCCUGGGGAGUACGGUCGCAAGAUUAAAACUCAAAGGAAUUGACGGGGACCCGCACAGGCGGUGGAUGAUGUGGAUUAAUUCGAUGCAACGCGAAAAACCUUACCUACCCUUGACAUGGCUGGAAUCCUUGAGA
rnacentral:rRNA from 1 species